GACGAACGCUGGCGGCGUGCUUAACACAUGCAAGUCGAACGGAAAGGCCCUGCUUUUGUGGGGUGCUCGAGUGGCGAACGGGUGAGUAACACGUGAGUAACCUGCCCCUGACUUUGGGAUAACUUCAGGAAACUGGGGCUAAUACCGGAUAGGAGCUCCUGCUGCAUGGUGGGGGUUGGAAAGUUUCGGCGGUUGGGGAUGGACUCGCGGCUUAUCAGCUUGUUGGUGGGGUAGUGGCUACCAAGGCUUUGACGGGUAGCCGGCCUGAGAGGGUGACCGGCCACAUUGGGACUGAGAUACGGCCCAGACUCCUACGGGAGGCAGCAGUGGGGAAUAUUGCACAAUGGGCGGAAGCCUGAUGCAGCAACGCCGCGUGCGGGAUGACGGCCUUCGGGUUGUAAACCGCUUUCGCCUGUGACGAAGCGUGAGUGACGGUAAUGGGUAAAGAAGCACCGGCUAACUACGUG
rnacentral:rRNA from 1 species